UACGAAGGGAGCUAGCGUUGUUCGGAAUCACUGGGCGUAAAGCGCACGUAGGCGGAUGUGUCAGUCAGGGGUGAAAUCCCGGAGCUCAACUUCGGAACUGCCUUUGAUACAGCACGUCUUGAGUCCGAUAGAGGUGGGUGGAAUUCCUAGUGUAGAGGUGAAAUUCGUAGAUAUUAGGAAGAACACCGGUGGCGAAGGCGGCCCACUGGAUCGGUACUGACGCUGAGGUGCGAAAGCUAGGGGAGCAAACGGG
rnacentral:rRNA from 1 species